UACGUAAGGGUGCAAGCGUUAAUCGGAAUUACUGGGCGUAAAGCGUGCGCAGGCGGUUUUGUAAGUCAGAUGUGAAAUCCCCGGGCUUAACCUGGGAACUGCGUUUGAAACUACAAGGCUAGAGUGUGGCAGAGGGGGGUGGAAUUCCACGUGUAGCAGUGAAAUGCGUAGAGAUGUGGAGGAAUACCGAUGGCGAAGGCAGCCUCCUGGGCCAACACUGACGCUCAUGCACGAAAGCGUGGGGAGCAAACAGG
rnacentral:rRNA from 1 species